rnacentral:rRNA from 1 species
GCUACGGGCGGCAGCAGUGAGGAAUAUUGGUCAAUGGGCGAGAGCCUGAACCAGCCAAGUCGCGUGAAGGAUGACGGCCCUACGGGUUGUAAACUUCUUUUGUCAGGGAGCAAUUGAGUCCACGUGUGGUCUUAGCGAGAGUACCUGAAGAAAAAGCAUCGGCUAACUCCGUUCCAGCAGCCGCGGUAAUACGGAGGAUGCGAGCGUUAUCCGUAUUUAUUGGGUUUAAAGGGUGCGUAGGCGGAAUAUCAAGUCAGCGGUAAAAAUUCGGGGCUCACCCCCGUCGUGCCGUGGAAACUGAUGUUCUUAAGUGGGCGAGAAGUAUGCGGAAUGCGUGGUGUAGCGGUGAAAUGCAUAGAUAUCACGCAGAACUCCGAUUGCGAAGGCAGCAUACCGGCGCCCAACUGACGCUGAAGCACGAAAGCGUGGGUAUCGAACAGGAUUAGAUACCCUGGUAGUC